rnacentral:rRNA from 1 species
UACGUAGGGGGCAAGCGUUGUCCGGAAUUAUUGGGCGUAAAGAGCUCGUAGGCGGUUCGGCAAGUCGGAUGUGAAAUCUCCACGCUUAACGUGGAGGGGCCAUUCGAAACUGCUGUGACUCGAGUCCGGUAGGGGAGUGUGGAAUUCCCGGUGUAGCGGUGAAAUGCGCAGAUAUUGGGAGGAACACCAGUGGCGAAGGCGGCUCACUGGACCGGUACUGACGCUGAUGCGCGAAAGCGUGGGGAGCAAACGGG